rnacentral:rRNA from 1 species
AGCUCCAAUAGCAUAUACCAAUUCUGUUGCGGUUAAAAAGCUCGUAGUUGGAUCUCAACGGGCUGGGGGCGGUUCGUUGUUUGACGUUACUGCCCCAGCUGCCCGUGUUUUUGGCGGAGGUCCCAGGGUGCUCUUAACCGAGUGUCCUGGGGCGCCGUCAGGUUUACUUUGAAAAAAUUAGAGUGCUCAAAGCAGGCUUUACACGCUUGAAUAUUCGUGCAUGGAAUAAUAGAAUAGGACGUCGUUUCUAUUUUGUUGGUUUUCUGAAAUCGACGUAAUGAUUAAUAGGGACAGUCGGGGGCAUUAGUAUUCAGACGACAGAGGUGAAAUUCUUGGACCGUCUGAAGACUAACUACUGCGAAAGCAUUUGCCAAGAAUGUUUUCA